GACGAACGCUGGCGGCGUGCUUAACACAUGCAAGUCGAACGGAAAGGCCCUGCUUGCAGGGUCCUCGAGUGGCGAACGGGUGAGUAACACGUGGGUGAUCUGCCCUGCACUUCGGGAUAAGCCUGGGAAACUGGGUCUAAUACCGGAUAGGAGCCAUUUUUAGUGUGAUGGUUGGAAAGUUUUUUUGGUGUAGGAUGAGCUCGCGGCCUAUCAGCUUGUUGGUGGGGUAAUGGCCUACCAAGGCGGCGACGGGUAGCCGGCCUGAGAGGGUGGACGGCCACAUUGGGACUGAGAGACGGCCCAGACUCCGACGGGAGGCAGCAGUGGGGAAUAUUGCACAAUGGGCGCAAGCCUGAUGCAGCGACGCCGCGGGGGGGAUGACGGCCUUCGGGUUGUAAACUCCUUUCGCUAGGGACGAAGCUUUUUGUGACGGUACCUAGAUAAGAAGCACCGGCUAACUACGUG
rnacentral:rRNA from 1 species